CAUUGACCAUUUGUUAUUUUGCUAGUAUCGUUUGUUUUAAAAUGUGUUUGACAUACGCUCUUUAGUUUCAUUAUUUAAGGCGGGUAUAAUUUAGGUUGUUGAUGAAUUACAUUAAAAGUACAUGAAAUAAUAUGAAAUAUUGAAGAAAAAACGAUAGACAUACAUCUAUGUCAUGCAAAUAUAUAAUUAGAUUCUAGAGUAUGUGUUACCCGUAAAACGAUAAAUUAGCAGCUCAAAAGGCUAUUUUUUUUUAAUUGGAUGGGGGGGGUCUGUUAUUCUGUAAACAUCUAAUUUUCACCCCUUUCUCUCUAAUCUUCAAAAAAUUAACCUCUUUUUUCUCUAAUCUUCAAAAAAAUAACCCCUUUUUUCUCUAAUGUUCAUUUUUUUGGCCCGUUAUUCUCUAAUCUUCAUUUUUAAGGGCAUUAUUCUUUAAUCAUUUAACCCCAUCCAAACCCUCAUACUAGGUUCUUGCAUUCACUAGAUUAACUCUGAUUAUUUUCAAAACGUUAUUUGUCUUUCCAUUUUCAUCUUGAAGCACCACGGAAUGAAUGUACAUGUAAAAAUUACAUUUUAAUAAUGUAUGUCUUCCAUCAAAACCAAUUGUCAUUGUUAAUAACGGUUCAUCGUCAUUCCUAUGUCAUAAUAAUGGAGUAUCUUUUGGUUAAGGGAGAUAACUCUUUAAAAUCAGUAAUGCGUUUGUUUACGUCGCUUUUUUUUAAAUUCUUUCUAAGUAUUCACUUUGAACAGAAUUCUAUUAAUUUGUAUAAUUUUGAAUCUUAGAAUGUAAAAUAUGAAAAUGAUUGAACCAAAUGUAAAAGUCAGUUUUAAGAAUUAUUUCUGUUAGCUCAGGUCUACUUCGUUAAGUUUCUUUAAGCAAUUCUCAUUAAUGGGAUGUGUGCAAUACUAGUCAUUUUGUAGUCGGAACUGUCUUUAAAUAGGUUUUUUUUACUCACAUUUUUUUUUUAUAUUCAGAACAUACUAAAACGAAAAUUUUGAAAUCAUGUAAUUUUCGAAUAUUAAAAGGAAAGACAAUGUGGUAAACUUAACCUAUUCGACAUUAUACCAGUUAACAUAACAUAUCAUAACAGAUUUUAUUGCUAUUCCAAAUGUCCAGUUGACACAUUGCGAAAUUUAUUUAUUAAAAUCUUUGCGUUGAGGGACAGCCGAAACAAAUAAGUUGAAAUACACAUAUCAAAGACGAUAUUUUCUUUCCGUUUUGUAUAAAAAAAAAUGUAUGUACUAAAUAUACAUUUGUUUAUUUUUGGUAGUGGGGUGUUGGAAUAUCCCCGUUUACAAUGUUCGAGAAUGCUGAAUGUUUCUCAAAAUCAUAUUGAUACUUAGUGUUUGCCAUCUAGAAGAGCUUAUUUGAUCAAAUGUUGAAAUAUGAUACCAUGCUGUCAUGACUUCUUCUCGGUAAAUAAAUGGGUUUACUGUAAUUGUGUUUCUGUGAUUGUACGUAAAGAUUAUUUGAAUGAUUUUGCUCUACAAAAAAAACAAGGGGAAAAUGGGCCUACCUUUUUAUAUGUUUUCUUUUUGUUAUUCUUUUCAUUAUUUAAAUAGUGUAGGUAUCAACAUCCAUGUUCUAUUUAUGUUAUAUUUUAAUGAACACUAUACACAUUGGAAAUAACUGCAGCUGUUAACUGUUUAUACUUCGAGUCCUACAUAACGAGUGAUGGUACUUCGUAAAUACCGACAUCAGAUACAAAAGUUCUGAAAUACCGACUUGAGAUACAAAACUUUAGUUUACUUUUAAAUUUAUGUUAAA
rnacentral:lncRNA from 1 species